rnacentral:rRNA from 1 species
UACAGAGGGUGCGAGCGUUAAUCGGAAUUACUGGGCGUAAAGGGUGCGCAGGCGGCCGUGUGUGUCAGGUGUGAAAGCCCGGAGCUUAACUCCGGAAUUGCGCCUGAAACUACAUGGCUAGAGCAUUGGAGAGGGUAGCGGAAUUCACGGUGUAGCAGUGAAAUGCGUAGAUAUCGUGAGGAACACCAGAGGCGAAGGCGGCUACCUGGACAAUUGCUGACGCUCAGGCACGAAAGCGUGGGGAGCAAAAGGG